AUUACCAUUUAUAAACCGCACUGCUACUGCGUUUAUAAAACUGGAUUAGCCCUUUAGAUAAUACAUAUUACUGUCAAUUUGAGCGUAUAGUUUUCCAAGCUUGGGUAUGACACACACUCUUAGUAGUCGGAAAUACCACAUCUGAUAACGUAUUUUGAACACAGUCGGUCAAAUAGUGAACAAUGGGCUCACAGAAUAGCACAAGGCGUCUUUCGGCAGAAUACAUCAGUUCUCAGUUUGGGAAAUAUCAGUCGAGGUUAUCAGAAGUAAACAGAAAUUUACUGAGAUUUGCCCUGAGGCAGGCAGCUGAACACAUGAUGGAUGAAACUGGGUUGCAUGUUUAUUUAGAAGACGAAGAAUCAUUUUCAUGCAUACCGUCCGGUUGUAGAGAGGCUGACCUCAAAUCAUGGAUGGUCGUCAGUUACGACGCAAGAAUGAAGCCUGAAAUGUAUUUCGAUCAUAUGUCCGGAUUGCGAUCUUUCAAAUCGUAUGUGAUUGAUGGAAUCAAAUCCAUAUGUGCUCGGCUUAUCGAUUAUUUGCCGGAAAUAGCCUCUAGAGCUGCAGCACGAGCAAUAACGUUUUUGUAGACAAUUGCUUACGAAACAAACUCAAUAAUCGGUCGACCAUAUUGAUACUGAUUAUUGAACCCAAGAACUAUCAAUUAAAAAGCUAUUUAAAUGUCAAAAAGCGAAGAAACCAGAUAUUUGAACUGUUUUUUAAUCUUAUCAGAUGUCAUACCCUGUAACGGCCCUAUUUAAUAAGCGUUUUCCCGUGUUAGUCACAUUUUUAAAAUAAAUAUAUCAAGUAUCUCAUUAGAGAAGAAAAUCAAACAAGAAAUGGCUAUGGACGAAGAAUAUUCCGUUUGUGGCAACAUCGUAUACUAGAAGAGGUGUUCGAAGGUUUUAAGUUAUAUCAAUCUAGCUUUGAGUUAUCCUGAAAUAUAUGUAGAAACAUGUCAUUCUUAACCAAUAUUGUCACACAUCGUCUGCCAUUGAGAAAUACAUCUAUUGACAUGGGUGUCAGAGAUUUCUUACAUAUGAUUAUACAUUCGAAACACUGCUACAAUUAUUUUGUAAAACAUACAUGCGAUUCAAAUCAAACAUGUCCUAAAAGGGAAAUAACAUCGCUUAUAUUAUAAACAAUUUCACCAACAUACUCGGGUGCAUAUGUUCAAUUCAAACCCUUAUGAGAGCGUUCAUAGUAUAUUAGCGGUUGAGCAUUAAUGCAUGUUUACUGACUACGAGUAAAACAAAUGCACAAUCUAUUUUGUGUGUGCACAUUUUGGUAUGUUAAAUAUAACAGUUAUUUGGACGAAAUCGGAGUUCUUACUAAAUUUAAUUUGCAAAGCGGAAUUUAUCGUUUACACAGAGGCACGCACGGAUUUUAAAUAUAAUUAUUUCAAUUGUUUAUUGUAUAUAUGAAAAUCUUAUCAUAGAGAGGUCGACGAUCGAAACAUAGCAUAUUGAUGUAUUAUGAUAUCAUAUGAUUCAUUGUGUUCAUGUUUCAAAAUUACAAUACUUUGCUUUACAAUAUGUUUGGAGUGAAUCAAAGUUUAUAACGAUAAUUAGUGUACAAUUUCAAAUUGAAAAUGCACUCUUUGUCAUGACAGGCGGUUUAAUUAAGGAAAAGCAUCAUCAAGUACAUACUCCCAUUGUAUUGUUUAGUUAACUGUGCGCUGCGGGCAUCACUUACUAACACUUCAAGACUUGACAUUAUAAAUAGACCAGUCGCUUAAAAUCUUCCUUAUUAAGGAGAACACUCACAGCUCUCAUAUAGUGGUUGAAGUGUGCAGGCAUGUUUUUUAAUUGGAAUACUUGAACCAAAUCUACAAAACGUUCUUCAUUAUUUUACAGAGGAUAUUGCAUUUACAGGAAUCUACCGAAACACGAAGAUGCUCAAAACAGUUAUUUUGGUAGCCAUGGUUAUUAUGCCUUUAGUGGUGGACGGAAGAUACUCUUGCUUGAAGUUACAAGAUUGUCAGUGCGGGAAUGUGUGCGUUAAUGAACUAGACAAGAGCUGCCAGGGACCAAAAGACUCGUGCAUGUGCAAACCUGGUUGUGUGGUGUUCGACCUCUUCAUUAAACCUGGUGCAGCAAGGUUCGUGUAUGGCAACACUUGUAGCUGUCCUACAAGCCCCCGAGCAACCAAAGGGCCGUUAGCUUGUACCAGGGCGGGAUGGAUAGGCCAACCAGAUGGUGUCCCGGAAUAUAUGGAACACCCAAAAUGUUUGUCGUGAUUCUGAAAGAAAAGUGGUCGCCGUGGUUUGUUUCUGUGUUUUAUACGUUUCCAUUUAUAUAUGUAUAUAAUAUGUAUAUAUGGUAUUGAAAUAACGUGAUAGCUGUCUGAAAUGAUGUUUGUACAUUGUAUGCCUCGCUACAACCAAUACAUCAUUUACACAAUGCACAAUUACAUAAUAUAAUAGAUCGCUCAUGCAUCCUAUUAUGUCAGCUCUAAUUAUUAUAUUUGACACUAAACACUAUCCAAGAUUAUAAGAAGAUUUAAAUAUAAAUUAGAGAACUUAUUGUGACAUCCGCAAAUCAGGUGACUAAUUGCCUUUACACUAGAGGGAAAAGUAAACAAAACAACAUGUAACAUAAAUACAUAUUUCUGAUAUAUAACAAUAGUGAAUAAAGUACAUGAAGCUUAUUUAUAUUCAUCACUAUAUUUAUGUUUUAUCAAUUCAGAGGAUCUGCAUCUAGGUCUAAAUGUCAGAUGUUUGUAGGCCGUGACAACGUCUCUAAAGAAUGCCUUCUUCAACGGGCCGCGGCUAGUCUUCUCCAUAAGUCGAUUUACAUCAAUCUUCGCACUUUCAACGUUUGUUUUACUUAGAACUCAAAUUGGAUAACUCGAUUACAUGUUUUAACAACGCCAUUAAGCAUAUAAAUGCUUAUGCAAAUGUAGGAAAAAGCUGCAAUUAAAACUAUCUUUUUGAUAUAUCGCAUGAAAUAUUUUAAUAAUAUUCGCGUACUAAACCUAUACCUGAAAACAAUGAAUAUUCAUAACGUCUUAUCAAGAUGUUUGCGCAUGCAAAGAAAGUUAAGUAUUUUGCCACUUUACUGUAAAGCGGAAAACGUUGCCCAUACAACAUUGUCAGAUUGUCACAAAUGUUCAAAGUUAUUUCAAAUUGCAAGAUUCCCCAUAGUUUAACAGAGAUGGAUAGAUAUUUGCACAAUGUUCAUGCACAAAUCAUGAAUAAUCAUCAAUGCAACACAUUUUGUUUUACUUUGAAAAGUUAAAUAAAUAAUAACCUUACA